CGUUCGUGUGAAUCGAAAUUGUAAGACUUGUAAAGAAAAAUUAAUUAUUGUGGAUGCAAAGACAGAAAAUAAACAUGCAAUGUGUUUGAUUCAAUUGACGAAAAAGACUAUGAAUGAAUGGAGUUGUUGGGGGUUGACAAUUUCAUCUUAUCCACUCCCUCUUAUCUACUCCUCUUGUUUAAUGUGCUUGAUUAUCUAAUUGUUAUGCAAACUUUCUUGGCCUACCCUUAACCCGAUCCCUCGGCGAAAAGAGCCUAUUACUAACUACCGACUUGCUAUCCCUAGCCUCCCCUAACAAUUAGCAAUGCAUUACCGAACAAAAGCAAAAAAAAAUUGAUCGUCCUACCUCCC
rnacentral:lncRNA from 1 species